rnacentral:rRNA from 1 species
ACGGAAGGCAGCAGUGGGGAAUAUUGCACAAUGGGCGAAAGCCUGAUGCAGCGACGCCGCGUGAGUGAAGAAGUAUUUCGGUACGUAAAGCUCUAUCAGCAGGGAAGAAAAUGACGGUACCUGACUAAGAAGCCCCGGCUAACUACGUGCCAGCAGCCGCGGUAAUACGUAGGGGGCAAGCGUUAUCCGGAUUUACUGGGUGUAAAGGGAGUGUAGGUGGCCAUGCAAGUCAGAAGUGAAAGCCCGGGGCUCAACCCCGGGACUGCUUUUGAAACUGUAAGGCUUGAGUGCAGGAGAGGUAAGCGGAAUUCCUAGUGUAGCGGUGAAAUGCGUAGAUAUUAGGAGGAACACCAGUGGCGAAGGCGGCUUACUGGACUGUAACUGACACUGAGGCUCGAAAGCGUGGGGAGCAAACAGGAUUAGAUACCCUGGUA